rnacentral:rRNA from 1 species
CCUGCGGGUGGCAGCAGUGAGGAAUAGUGGUCAAUGGGCGCGAGCCUGAACCAGCCAAGUCGCGUGAGGGAAGACGGUCCUAUGGAUUGUAAACCUCUGUUGUCGGGGAGCAAAAGACGCCACGCGUGGCGUUCCGAGAGUACCCGAAGAAAAAGCAUCGGCUAACUCCGUGCCAGCAGCCGCGGUAAUACGGGGGAUGCGAGCGUUAUCCGGAUUUAGUGGGUGUACAGGGUGCGCAGGCGGCAGAUCAAGUCAGCGGUAAAAUUGGGCGUCUCAACCUCUUCGAGCCGUUGAAACUGGUUUUCUUGAGUGAGUGAGAAGUAUGCGGAAUGCGUGGUGUAGCGGUGAAAUGCAUAGAUAUCACGCAGAACUCCGAUUGCGAAGGCAGCAUACCGGCGCUCAACUGACGCUCAUGCACGAAAGUGUGGGUAUCGAACAGGAUUAGAUACCCUUGUAGUC